rnacentral:rRNA from 1 species
GAUGAACGCUGACAGAAUGCUUAACACAUGCAAGUCAACUUGAAUUUGGGUUUUUAACUUAGAUUUGGGUGGCGGACGGGUGAGUAACGCGUAAAGAACUUGCCUCACAGCUAGGGACAACAUUUAGAAAUGAAUGCUAAUACCUGAUAUUAUGAUUUUAAGGCAUCUUAGAAUUAUGAAAGCUAUAAGCACUGUGAGAGAGCUUUGCGUCCCAUUAGCUAGUUGGAGAGGUAACAGCUCACCAAGGCGAUGAUGGGUAGCCGGCCUGAGAGGGUGAACGGCCACAAGGGGACUGAGACACGGCCCUUACUCCUACGGGAGGCAGCAGUGGGGAAUAUUGGACAAUGGACCAAGAGUCUGAUCCAGCAAUUCUGUGUGCACGAUGAAGUUUUUCGGAAUGUAAAGUGCUUUCAGUUGGGAAGAAAUAAAUGACGGUACCAACAGAAGAAGUGACGGCUAAAUACGUGCCAGCAGCCGCGGUAAUACGUAUGUCACGAGCGUUAUCCGGAUUUAUUGGGCGUAAAGCGCGUCUAGGUGGUUAUGUAAGUCUGAUGUGAAAAUGCAGGGCUCAACUCUGUAUUGCGUUGGAAACUGUAUAACUAGAGUACUGGAGAGGUAAGCGGAACUACAAGUGUAGAGGUGAAAUUCGUAGAUAUUUGUAGGAAUGCCGAUGGGGAAGCCAGCUUACUGGACAGAUACUGACGCUAAAGCGCGAAAGCGUGGGUAGCAAACAGG